UCCUGCUGGCGGGAAGGAGGAGGAAAAGCUAACUGAACAGGCCUUUCCAAAUGGAUCCACGCUUGAGCUGCACAAAUCAGUCCUUUUAGUUACCCUCCAGGCCGUCUGAUGUCCUCCUGAAUAAUUCUGUGAGAAGGCCACGCUCAGAGGGAGCUUGGGGUAUUGGUCUCUCACUGUGCAGGGAUAUUUAGGGGGUUGUUAAAUAUCUAUCUGAAAGGUUUUUAGACUGUUGCCCAUCACCACAGUACCUGGGCGGCUUCCACAUAUAAUCGCCUCACGAGGCUGAGACACCGCUCUGUUGUGUGUGUAUCAGUACUGACCACGCACUCAACCUUCGGAACAUCUCUCCACUUACGGGUCCCAUCACAUCGUGUCUGAGCGUCUCACGGUCUUUAGUGUUUUUAUCCUCACAACUCCCCUGCGAGGUGUUCAAGCAACACCCACCGUCACAGCCAGUGUCUUGGAUGGCGGCCGCGGAGAUGAACUCCACUCUGAGCCCGCCAAGUGCUUGCGCCGUGGUGAGGCUGCUCCAUGAGGAGUACGCUGCGGUUAUCCAGUCUAGAGGAGCCCUGGAUAACGGCAGCCAGGCCCAGCGCCCUGGAGAAACUGUCACGAUCGCUGGGUUCGAGGACGAUGAUGACUAGCACGCCUGUGCAAGUGGGGAAUGGACAAACCCCUUCAACUUCUGGCAGCUUCCCUCCCUGCAGCGAGGUACGGCCCGGUGGCUUUCGGCCAUGCCCCUCCCUUGGCCAGCCCCUGGGAGAGCGUUGGCACUCCGUGGCCUGGUUUCAGUGCACAAAGCACUCUGAGCUACAUGUUCUCAGCUUCGGCUCAAGCUGCCUUGCCGGGCUUUGCCUUAUAUGCCCUCCGCCAGCCCUCCCCACUCGCCUCCCCCAGCACGGAGCCGUCAGGUACUCACCCUG